rnacentral:misc_RNA from 1 species
AGGCGCCCAAACUCCUCCUUCAUGAGAGCUAUUUCCUUCUCUGUCUCUGCGCUCUUCAGCAGUGGUUUGAUCUUGAAAUAGAGCUUCAUCCAGGGCCAGUUCUUGACCGCCAUGAAUGCACGCACAUUCCACUGAAUCACAAGUAAGGCAUCCCUGCGUUCUACCAUCUUUAUGUAUUCAGCCCUUGAGAGAAGACCACGAGACUUGGCUUGAA